rnacentral:rRNA from 1 species
GAUGAACGCUGGCGGCGUGUCUAAUACAUGCAAGUCGAGCGAACAGACGAGGAGCUUGCUCCUCUGACGUUAGCGGCGGACGGGUGAGUAACACGUGGAUAACCUACCUAUAAGACUGGGAUAACUUCGGGAAACCGGAGCUAAUACCGGAUAAUAUAUUGAACCGCAUGGUUCAAUAGUGAAAGACGGUUUUGCUGUCACUUAUAGAUGGAUCCGCGCCGCAUUAGCUAGUUGGUAAGGUAACGGCUUACCAAGGCAACGAUGCGUAGCCGACCUGAGAGGGUGAUCGGCCACACUGGAACUGAGACACGGUCCAGACUCCUACGGGAGGCAGCAGUAGGGAAUCUUCCGCAAUGGGCGAAAGCCUGACGGAGCAACGCCGCGUGAGUGAUGAAGGUCUUCGGAUCGUAAAACUCUGUUAUUAGGGAAGAACAAAUGUGUAAGUAACUAUGCACGUCUUGGCGGUACCUAAUCAGAAAGCCACGGCUAACUACGUG